GUAGGUGGCAAGCGUUGUCCGGAAUUAUUGGGCGUAAAGCGCGCGCAGGCGGUCCUUUAAGUCUGAUGUGAAAGCCCACGGCUCAACCGUGGAGGGUCAUUGGAAACUGGGGGACUUGAGUACAGAAGAGGAAAGCGGAAUUCCAAGUGUAGCGGUGAAAUGCGUGGAGAUUUGGGGGAACACCAGUGGCGAAGGCGGCUUUCUGGUCUGUAACUGACGCUGAGGCGCGAAAGCGUGGGGAGCAAACAAAAUUAGAUACCCUGGUAGUCCACGCCGUAAACGAUGAGUGCUAAGUGUUAGGGGGUUUCCGCCCCUUAGUGCUGCAGCUAACGCAUUAAGCACUCCGCCUGGGGAGUACGGCCGCAAGGCUG
rnacentral:rRNA from 1 species